rnacentral:rRNA from 1 species
CAAUAGCGUAUAUUAAAGUUGUUGCAGUUAAAAAGCUCGUAGUUGGAUUUCUGGUGGGAGCGAUCGGUCUGGCGCUUAGCGCGAGUACUUGCAUCGUCUCCGGCCAUCCUUGGGGAGAGUCUGUCUGGCAUUAAGUUGUCGGGCAGAGGAUCCUCAUCGUUUACUGUGAAAAAAUUAGAGUGUUCAAAGCAGGCUUAUGCCGUUGAAUAUAUUAGCAUGGAAUAAUAAGAUAGGACUUUGGUACUAUUUUGUUGGUUUGCGCACCAAAGUAAUGAUUAAUAGGGACAGUUUGGGGUAUUCGUAUUCCGUUGUCAGAGGUGAAAUUCUUGGAUUUACGGAAGACGAACUACUGCGAAAGCAUUUACCAAGGAUGUUUUCAUUAA